rnacentral:rRNA from 1 species
ACGUAGGGUGCAAGCGUUAUCCGGAAUUAUUGGGCGUAAAGAGCUCGUAGGCGGUUUGUCACGUCUGCUGUGAAAACUGGAGGCUCAACCUCCAGCCUGCAGUGGGUACGGGCAGACUAGAGUGCGGUAGGGGAGAUUGGAAUUCCUGGUGUAGCGGUGGAAUGCGCAGAUAUCAGGAGGAACACCGAUGGCGAAGGCAGAUCUCUGGGCCGUAACUGACGCUGAGGAGCGAAAGCAUGGGGAGCGAACAG